ACGCUCGACACCUACGGGAGGCAGCAGUGGGGAAUAUUGCACAAUGGGGGAAACCCUGAUGCAGCGACGCCGCGUGAAGGAAGAAGUAUCUCGGUAUGUAAACUUCUAUCAGCAGGGAAGAAAAUGACGGUACCUGACUAAGAAGCCCCGGCUAACUACGUGCCCGCAGCCGCGGUAAUCUGAGCGGGCUGGCAAGGC
rnacentral:rRNA from 1 species